rnacentral:rRNA from 1 species
UAGNAAACAAGGGGGUGUGAAGAAGUCCUGAGGGUUGUAAAGCACNUUCAGUGGGGAGGAGUGGUAAAUGGUUAAGAGCUGGUUAGCAGGACGUUACCCACAGAUAAAGCACCCCGUAACUCUUUGCCAGCAGACGCGGUAAUAUAGAGGGGGCGAGAGUUUUUUUGAAUUACUGGGGGUAAAAAGUGCGUAGGGGGUUGUAUAAGUUACCUGUGAAAUCUCCGGGCUCUCCCCCUGCAGGUCACUUAAGAUAGUAUGACUCGAGUGUGGGAGAGGGUAGUGGAAUUUCCGGUGUGUCGAGGAAAAAUUUAGAGAUAGGAAGAAACACCAGUGGGGAAGGGGGGUACCUGGCGUCAUACUGACACUGAGGCACGANAGCGUGGGGAGCAAACACGAUUAGAUACCCCGGUAGUGCACGCGCUAAAAGAUGUCAAUUAGCUGUUGUCGUUAUCAAUGAGGU